AGUGAACGCUGGCGGUAGGCCUAACACAUGCAAGUCGAACGGCAGCACAGUAAGAGCUUGCUCUUACGGGUGGCGAGUGGCGGACGGGUGAGGAAUACAUCGGAAUCUACUUUUUCGUGGGGGAUAACGUAGGGAAACUUACGCUAAUACCGCAUACGACCUACGGGUGAAAGCAGGGGAUCUUCGGACCUUGCGCGAUUGAAUGAGCCGACUUCGGAUUAGCUAGUUGGCGGGGUAAAGGCCCACCAAGGCGAGGAUCCGUAGCUGGUCUGAGAGGAUGAUCAGCCACACUGGAACUGAGGCACGGUCCAGACUCCUGCGGGAGGCAGCAGUGGGGAAUAUUGGACAAUGGGCGCAAGCCUGAUCCAGCCAUACCGCGUGGGUUACGAAGGCCUUCGGCUUGUAAAGCCCUUUUGUUGGGAAAGAAAGGCAGCAGGUUAAUACCCCGCUGUUCUGUCGGUACCCAAAGAAUAAGCACCGGCUAACUUCGUG
rnacentral:rRNA from 1 species